GGGGCGGUAGCAUAGUAGGUAGUGCAGUCGGUUGAAGCCCGACCCGCAGGGGUUCGAUUCCCCUCUGUCCCAC
rnacentral:tRNA from 1 species